rnacentral:rRNA from 1 species
AAAUGAAUAGACGGGACCUCGCACAAGCGGUGGAUCAUGUUGUUUAAUUCGAGGAUACGCGAAGAACCUUACCAGGCCUUGACAUCCCUUGCGAAGCUAUAGAGAUAUAGUAGAGGUUAUCAAGGAGACAGGUGGUGCAUGGUUGUCGUCAGCUCGUGUCGUGAGAUGUUGGGUUAAGUCCCGCAACGAGCGCAACUCUUAUCGUUAUUUGCCAUCAUUAAGUUGGGCACUAUAACGAGACUGCCAGUGAUAAAUUGGAGGAAGGUGGGAAUGACGUCAAAUCAUCAUGCCCCUUAUGGCCUGGGCUACAAACGUGAUACAAUGGUUGGAACAAAGGGAGGCAAAGCUGUGAAGCCAAGCGAACCCCAUAAAAACAAUCUCAGUUCGGAUUGAAGUCUGCAACUCGACUUCAUGAAGUCGGAAUCGCUAGUAAUCGUAGAUCAGAACGCUACGGUGAAUACGUUCUCGAGGUUUGCACACACCGCCCGU